rnacentral:rRNA from 1 species
UGGGGAAUAUUGCACAAUGGGGGAAACCCUGAUGCAGCGACGCCGCGUGAACGAAGAAGGUAUUCGUAUCGUAAAGUUCUGUCCUAUGGGAAGAUAAUGACAGUACCAUAGAAGAAAGCUCCGGCUAAAUACGUGCCAGCAGCCGCGGUAAUACGUAUGGAGCGAGCGUUGUCCGGAAUUAUUGGGCGUAAAGGGUACGCAGGCGGUUUAAUAAGUCGAAUGUUAAAGAUCGGGGCUCAACCCCGUAAAGCAUUGGAAACUGAUAAACUUGAGUAGUGGAGAGGAAAGUGGAAUUCCUAGUGUAGUGGUGAAAUACGUAGAUAUUAGGAGGAAUACCAGUAGCGAAGGCGACUUUCUGGCCAUAAUCUGACGCUGAGGUACGAAAGCGUGGGUAGCAAACAGG